AUAUAUAAAAAAUAUGGUCAUGCACACAAUUAACAUAGGAUAUGAUAAUGCUCUCCCUCUCCUUCACUCUCCCUCUCCUUCCCUUUCCAUCACUCUCUCUCUCCUUCACUCUCCCUCUCCGUCACUCCCUCUCCAUCACUCUCCCUCUCCUUCACUCUCCAUCACUCUCCCUCUCCUUCACUCUCCCUCUCCUUCCCUCUCCAUCACUCUCCCUCUCCUUCCCUCUCCAUCACUCUCCCUCUCCUUCACUCUCCAUCACUCUCCCUCUCCUUCACUCUCCCUCUCCUUCCCUCUCCAUCACUCUCCCUCUCCUUCCCUCUCCCUCUCCUUCACUCUCCAUCACUCUCCCUCUCCUUCACUCUCCAUCUCCUUCACUCUCCCUCUCCCUCUCCUUCACUCUCCCUCUCCUUCCCUCUCCAUCACUCUCCCUCUCCUUCACUCUCCCUCUCCUUCACUCUCCCUCUCCUUCCCUCUCCAUCACUCUCCCUCUCCUUCACUCUCCCUCGCCUUCACUCUCCAUCACUCUCCCUCUCCUUCACUCUCCCUCUCCUUCCCUCUCCAUCACUCUCCCUCUCCUUCCCUCUCGCUCUCCUUCACUCUCCAUCACUCUCCCUCUCCUUCACUCUCCAUCUCCUUCACUCUCCCUCUCCUUCACUCUCCCUCUCCUUCCCUCUCCAUCACUCUCCCUCUCCUUCACUCUCCAUCACUCUCCCUCUCCUUCACUCUCCCUCUCCUUCCCUCUCCAUCACUCUCCCUCUCCUUCACUCUCCCUCUCCUUCCCUCUCCAUCACUCUCCCUCUCCUUCACUCUCCAUCACUCUCCCUCUCCAUCACUCUCCCUCUCCUUCACUCUCCUUCACUCCCCCUCUCCUUCACUCUCCUUCACUCUCCCUCUCCUUCCCUCUCCUUCACUCUCCCUCUCCUUCCCUCUCCAUCACUCUCCCUCUCCUUCACUCUCCAUCACUCUCCCUCUCCUUCACUCUCCUUCACUCUCCCUCUCCUUCCCUCUCCUUCACUCUCCCUCUCCUUCACUCUCCAUCACUCUCCCUCUCCUUCACUCUCCUUCACUCUCCCUCUCCUUCCCUCUCCUUCACUCUCCCUCUCCUUCCCUCUCCUUCACUCUCCCUCUCCUUCCCUCUUCAUCACUCUCCCUCUCCUUCACUCUCCUUCACUCUCCCUCUCCUUCCCUUCUCCUUCACUCUCCCUCUCCUUCCCUCUCCUUCACUCUCUCUCUCCUUCCCUCUCCAUCACUCUCCCUCUCCUUCACUCUCCAUCACUCUCCCUCUCCUUCACUCUCCCUCUCCUUCCCUCUCCAUCACUCUCCAUCACUCUCCCUCUCCUCCUCACUCUCCUUCCUUCCUCUCUAUCUCUCUCUCUCCUGCCCUUUCCCUGUCCUUCCCUCUCCCUCUCCCCCACCUCUCCCUCUCCCCCACCUCUCCCUCUCCUUCUCCAUCUCCUUACCUUUCCCUCUCCCUUUCCUUCUCCCUCUCCUUCCAGCUUCGUCUCCUUCCAGCUUCCUCUCCUUCCAGCACCCUCUCCAUCUCCUCCCCGAUCCACCCCUUUCCCCCUCCCUCUCCCUUCAUCUCUCCCUCUCCUUUCCCUUCCCUCUCCUUCUCCUUUAUUUUCUCUCUCCUUCACUCUCCCUCUCAUUUUCCCGCUCCCUCUCCUUCCCUCUCCUUCUCCUCCCCUCUUCCUCUCCCUCCACCUCUUAAUCUCCUUAACUUCCUUCUCCUUGCCUCUCCCUCUCAUUCUCCUUCUCCCUCUCCUUCCCUCUCCCUCCAUCUCUCAUUCCCUCUCCUUCUCCCUCUCCUUCUCCCUCUCCUUCCCUCUCGCCCACCUUCCCUCUUCCUCUCCCUUCACCUCUCCCUUCCCUUCCCUCUCCGUCCUUCUCCUUCCCUUGGGUUUUCCUUCCUACCCACUCCCUCCAUCUCUCCUUCCCUCUCCUUCUCCUCCCCUCUUCCUCUCCCUCCACCUCUUAAUCUCCUUAACUUCCUUCUCCUUGCCUCUCCCUCUCCUUCUCCUUCUCCCUCUCCUUCCCUCUCCCUCCAUCUCUCAUUCCCUCUCCUUCUCCCUCUCCUUCUCCCUCUCCUUCCCUCUCACCACCUUCCCUCUUCCUCUCCCUCCACCUCUCCCUCUCAUUCCCUUCCCUUCCCUCUCCGUCCUUCUCCUUCCCUUGGGUUUUCCUUCCUUCCCUCUCCCUCCAUCUCUCAUUCCCUCUCCCUCCAUCUCUCAUUCCUUCUCCCUCUCCGUCCUUCUCCUUCCCUUGGGUUUUCCUUCCUUCCCUCUCCCUCCAUCUCUCAUUCCCUCUCCCUCCAUCUCUCAUUCCCUCUCCCUCUCCCUCCAUCUCUCAUUCCCUCUCCCUCUCCCUCCAUCUCUCAUUCCCUCUCCCUCUCCAUCCAUCUCUCAUUCCCUCUCCCUCUCCCUCCAUCUCUCAUUCCCUCUCCUUCCCUCUGCUUCUCCCAGUAUGGCCUGUUCACUGUGAAAUAGUCUCAACACCGUGUGUCUGAGGUGUGUGUGUGUGUGUGUGUGUGUGUGUGUGUGUGUGUGUGUGCAAGUGUGUGUGUGAAAGUGUGUGUGCAUAUCUGUACUUGUGUGUGUUAUAAAUAAUACCUCUCUCCCACACUAUGACUCACACUUUGAGUCGGCUUGGUGAAGGCUCCUAGUGUCUGGAAAUAAACCCUAGAGCAAACUAAUAAUUCUCUCUUUGCUUCCAUCCGGUAGUGUGUGUUUGUUUGUGUGUGCACAUGUGUGUUUGUAUGUGUGUGUGUGUGUGUGUGUGUGUGUGUGUGUGUGUGUGUGUGUGUAUGGGUGUAUAUGUGUGUGUACAUGUGUGUGAGUGUACAUGUGUGUGUAUGAGUAUGUGUGUGUGUAUGAGUGUAUAUGUGUGUAUAUGAGUGUGUGUGUAUGUGUGUAUAUGAGUGUGUGUAUGGGUGUAUAUGUGCAGGUAUAUGUGUGUGUAUAUGUGUUAUAUGAGUGUGUGUAUGUGUGUGUGUGUGCAUAGUUUUGUAAUCCCACACACACCAUUGAUUGUUAUGAGAAAAUGAUAUUUGAUAGAUUUUUUGGCAAAGCUUCAGCUGCAGUGGUCUUGUCUUUGAUCUGAUUUAGGCCAGAGAGAGAAGCAUUUCCCUCUGCCAAGGUGACGGUGUAACACUGGCCAAGAAUAAACAGAGCAGAGCAAAUAAAAGGUCAUUGAGCCUAGAGGACCGCUGUGACCAUGGGGUAACAAAGUAAACAUCUGUGUAUAUUGGGGGAUGGUGUUAUUG
ensembl:lncRNA